AGCUUGCUGCUUUGCUGACGAGUGGCGGACGGGUGAGUAAUGUCUGGGAAACUGCCCGAUGGAGGGGGAUAACUACUGGAAACGGUAGCUAAUACCGCAUAACGUCGCAAGACCAAAGAGGGGGACCUUCGGGCCUCUUGCCAUCGGAUGUGCCCAGAUGGGAUUAGCUAGUAGGUGGGGUAAAGGCUCACCUAGGCGACGAUCCCUAGCUGGUCUGAGAGGAUGACCAGCCACACUGGAACUGAGACACGGUCCAGACUCCUACGGGAGGCAGCAGUGGGGAAUAUUGCACAAUGGGCGCAAGCCUGAUGCAGCCAUACCGCGUGGGUGAAGAAGGCCUUCGGGUUGUAAAGCCCUUUUGUUGGGAAAGAAAUCCAGCUGGCUAAUACCCGGUUGGGAUGACGGUACCCAAAGAAUAAGCACCGGCUAACUUCGUGCCAGCAGCCGCGGUAAUACGAAGGGUGCAAGCGUUACUCGGAAUUACUGGGCGUAAAGCGUGCGUAGGUGGUCGUUUAAGUCCGUUGUGAAAGCCCUGGGCUCAACCUGGGAACUGCGAUGGAAACUGGGCGACUAGAGUGUGGUAGAGGGUAGCGGAAUUCCUGGUGUAGCAGUGAAAUGCGUAGAUAUCAGGAGGAACAUCCAUGGCGAAGGCAGCUACCUGGGCCAACACUGACACUGAGGCACGAAAGCGUGGGGAGCA
rnacentral:rRNA from 1 species